UCUAAUUAGUUUUAAAGACAAAAGUUGAGCGGCUAUUCCCAUAUCUUGCUCGUCGUUAAUGCUCAAAAGAAGAAAAAAAACCCUAUACGACAUUUAUAAAAUUAUAAGGCAGAUUGGAAACCCCUCUUCCGUAUCUCUAACCUCUCGAAUUUGAGUUUGGAUGAAGCUUUACAAGAGAAAGACAAACAUCAUAAGGUGAAAAAAUGAAGAAAAUAAGAAUCUUACUGCUGAAGCUGAUAUUUCUCGAUGAUUGGGUUGUUUCAUAGAAGAGUGAUAUGGAGGGGAAUUAUCUAGAACUAGUUCAAUUGCAAUCAGGAAGCUUCAAAGGAUCUUUUAUUUCAUCCGGUGUUACAGAUCGUAGCACUAUUUCUAUUCAGAAGAACCAAUUCUGACAGCAAGCUAUAUUAAUGGACCUCGUUCUGAAUCUGUUAGGAAUUUUAAGUUCUGCAAGAUAACUUGUUGAUUGUGUAUUGGUGUCUCUUACUCUAACUCUGCUAUGUCAUAAUAAAUUAUAGAUUAAUGGGGCAGUCUUCCGUUGCUGAUAGAGCAAAAUAAGCGAGUAAAUCAACACGCACACUAACAAACAAACAUGCUUAUUUGUUGUAUUUGCAACUCCUGAUUUUAAUUUCCGUUUUAACUGUAAAUUUGCAGAUAAGUUGGAAUUUCUAGUUUAAUGCAUGGAAUUCCUAGUUAUUAAGUUUUUUGUAAGCUGUUAUUGUCGCUAUAUCUAGUAGUAACAUUUAGAUUGAUGUUGAUAAACCUAAUUUAUGGAUUUAUACUUGUAGUUGUAGUAUAUCAAAAGAAGAUUGGUCGGAGUUGAUGAAAUCGGGUUUGCUGUUAAAACCCAACUUGCUGUUAUGUUGGAAUUUCUAGUUUAAUGCAUGAAAAUCCUAUUUGUGGUUGUGACAUUUUUUAUUGAUGUUGAUAAACCUAUUUAUGGGUUAAUAAUUAUAGUUAGUAUGUCGAAAGAAUAUUGGUUAGAGUUGAUGAAAUCGGGUUUGUUCUAAAAAUACCAUUGGUGAUUUGCUUCUAAUUAGUGGCUGAAUUUUCUUGUGUACUGUAUUAAUUGAACUCUGUUUUGAAGUGUCGGAUUGAUGGAUUUGCUAGAUGUAGACGAAGAUAUGGAAUGUUUUUUUAAUUUUUUUGAGUAUGUUUGAUGGAAUAAACCCAAGUAUUCAUGUUCGUGUGAGGUUUUUAUUACACAUUGGACACAGUCAUGGGGUUGUAAUUGGAGAUUUGGAGCAAUAUACUAUAGUUGGUAUUUCGGGUUUAAUUAUCUGUUUGUUACGGGAUAUGGAUUGGACAUGAAUAUGGAUGUGAUUUAUGUGAGCGUCAAAUCUGGUGACUAUCAGGGAGGGCUCUCUUCUUUUGUUUUGUUUGUAUUGAAGUCUCCAAGUGUCAAUACUGUGUUGGUGUUUAAUGAUCUGACGAAUUUUACUUUUCGUUUGAUUUGAGACCGAGGAACAUGAAACAUUUUAGUGUGCCAAUCUUGGUUUCUUUAAGCAGCUUUUAAUACUUUAUGCUUUGUUUAGAUAUUGUAUAUCAUCUUGUUAAUACUUUAUGCUUUGUUUAGAUAUUGUAUAUUAUUUUGUUAUAUUUAUCUAUAGCAAGCUGCGAGUGCUUUAUUAGACCUUGAUCAGCUUCCGUCACUAAAACCUUCAAUAAGGCCAUUGAGUCAGUCUCUUGUAAAGGAUGGACUCGUUUCAUCAUAAAGACAAAGAUGUCAGACUACUAGUUGUUGUUUCUUCUGUGAAAUUAUUCGGGUCCUUAGACCUGACCCAUCAUUUGAGGAUAAAGAUUUUAAGGUAACCAUUUGUCUAUUUUACUCUGCUAUUUUACUCCGCCAUCUCCUAUUUCUACAGAUAAAGUUCUACACGAUAUGUUGUUGAGCAGCAAAGCUAAUAAUUUAAGACUUGAGGAUGGCAUAUGUGUAGACAUUUUGCCACCCUCCACUGACGGGCAAGGAAAUUCUAGAGAAGCUUUUAUUUUGAAGAAACUGGAACUACUUAAGAAAUAUGACACUUUAGAAGAUAACUUGGGUCAUAUGGAAUGACGACAGAAUCUUCGAGGCGGUGAGGCUUGGUUUAGAGAACUGCCAAAAGGAGUGCUUGAUUGUCUUUUCCCCGCGAUUUUUAACCGUCAAAAGGCCGGGUAAACCAAAUUGCGGAUGAGUGGAGGAUGCUGGAAAAAGAUUUUCCAGAAUACAAUGUUGUUUCUCCUCUUGCUGCUGAGUUGUUUGCUUUGAUGGAAGGAAUGUCUACUGCUAAGAAGUUUAACAUCCCCAAUUUGGAGGUUGAAAUGGAUGCCAAAUCUCUUAUGAUCAUGUUGGAUACUGCUGGUAGCUAGUAAUCCAAAUCAUGAGCUUGCGUAUUUGAUCAACAACAAAGACUAUAUUGUAGUGGUGCUGCAUAUUCCUAGAGAGCGCAACUUGGUAGCUCAUCAGCAGUUGGACACAUGCAACACUUCACUGUUCCAGAUUGCGCAAGACUUGCUUAUGCAUCUGAUAUGGAGCAUGUGGGUUCAAGCUCGAACUAAUCUUCUCUGCUUUAACAUAGAUUAUCUUUUGUGUAACUUCUUUUGCUGUUCUAGGCGGUUCAAGGGUGGUCUUUUGCUGUAUUAUAAUCCUCCUUGUUGGUUUAAUGCUCUACUCGCCCAUUGUAUAUUUUGCCACUGAAACUUUGAUGGCUCCUACUACUGUAACAAACUCCUAAUUUUAUUCUAAUAUAAGUCUC